rnacentral:misc_RNA from 1 species
GCAAACUUGGUCAUUUAGAGGAAGUAAAAGUCGUAACAAGGUUUCCGUAGGUAAGUACUACUUAUCACUUACUAUCUCUCUAUGCUUGAAUAAUGUGCUGACUUUUCUCUUUCAGGUGAACCUGCGGAAGGAUCAUUACUGAGUGUUUAACCUCCCUUUAAAAAAAGGGGGUUACCUCCCGUCCUUUGCAGGCCCUUUUUUUAAGGGGCUUUUAGACUUUGCUUCGGCGGGGUUACCCCGCCGGAACACCCUCCGAAAAAUUCUGAUUUCAAAACUGUUCAGUCCGAGGAUAUUUAUAAAUUAAAAAAAAACUUUCAACAACGGAUCUCUUGGUUCUGGCAUCGAUGAAGAACGCAGC